rnacentral:rRNA from 1 species
CCUACGGGAGACAGCAGUGAGGAAUAUUGGUCAAUGGACGAGAGUCUGAACCAGCCAAGUAGCGUGAAGGAUGACUGCCCUAUGGGUUGUAAACUUCUUUUAUAUGGGAAUAAAAUGUUCCACGUGUGGGAUUUUGUAUGUACCAUAUGAAUAAGGAUCGGCUAACUCCGUGCCAGCAGCCGCGGUAAUACGGAGGAUCCGAGCGUUAUCCGGAUUUAUUGGGUUUAAAGGGAGCGUAGGUGGAUUGUUAAGUCAGUUGUGAAAGUUUGCGGCUCAACCGUAAAAUUGCAGUUGAAACUGGCAGUCUUGAGUACAGUAGAGGUGGGCGGAAUUCGUGGUGUAGCGGUGAAAUGCUUAGAUAUCACGAAGAACUCCGAUUGCGAAGGCAGUUCACUGGACUUCAACUGACACUGAGGCUCGAAAGUGUGGGUAUCAAACAGGAUUAGAUACCCCUGUAGUC